GGACGAACGCUGGCGGCGUGCCUAACACAUGCAAGUCGAACGGGGUUAAGUGAAAUUUCGGAUGGAGCUUAACUUAGUGGCGGACGGGUGAGUAACGCGUGGAUAACCUGCCUCACACUGGGGGAUAGCAGCUGGAAACGGCUGGUAAUACCGCAUAAGACCACAGCACCGCAUGGUGCAGGGGUAAAAGAUUUAUCGGUGUGAGAUGGAUCCGCGUCUGAUUAGCCAGUUGGCGGGUAACGGCCCACCAAAGCGACGAUCAGUAGCCGGCCUGAGAGGGUGAACGGCCACAUUGGGACUGAGACACGGCCCAAACUCCUACGGGAGGCAGCAGUGGGGAAUAUUGCACAAUGGGCGCAAGCCUGAUGCAGCAAACCGCCGCGUGAGUGAAGAAGUAUUUCGGUAUGUAAAGCUCUAUCGGCAGGGAAGAAAGGCCCUUAACAGGGAGAUGACGGUACCUGACUAAGAAGCCCCGGCUAACUACGUGCCAGCAGCCGC
rnacentral:rRNA from 1 species